rnacentral:rRNA from 1 species
GACGAACCGUCCUAACGUUGUUCGGAAUCACUGGGCUUAACGGGCGCGUAGGCGGGUUCCCAAGUCGGUGGUGAAAUCUUUCGGCCCAACCGGAAAACAGCCGCCGAUACUGGGAGUCUUGAGGGAGGUAGGGGUCGAUGGAACUUCCGGUGGAGCGGUGAAAUGCGUAGAUAUCGUGAGGAACACCAGAGGCGAAGGCGGCUACCUGGACAAUUGCUGACACUCAGGCACGAAAGCGUGGGGAGCAAAAGGG